GUCAUGAACAUAUUUUCUGCAAAUAGGAAGGCGUUCCCUUAUGAAUGUGCAGAAAAUUCUGAGUUGUCAUUUACUCCUGUGAUUUUGGAGAAUCUAUGGAACAAUGCUGGUGAAGCAGGAUGUUUCAGCUGUCUGUGUCCAUAAAGGGUCGUAUUCUGCAUUAAGACUUUGAACUGGCCCAGAGGAAGAUGAUGCUAUGAUUCUCCAUGAAUCUUCUCUCUCCAUUUCCUUUCCACAUGUUGCCGCACCUUUAUGAACUCCAAGAGAAUUGCUUAUAUUGCUUAUACAGAACCUUCUCUACCUGUGUUUCAUCCCAACAUGUUGGGAUAGAUAUGAGCUAUAUGAGCACACUGUUCUUUACACAUUAAACCAGCAAAGCAGUGAUGGGGUUGAUUGGAAUGUCUUUAAUCUACCUGCAUCAACAUUUCAGAAGGAGAGAG